GGGGUAGAAUUCAAUGCCAUUUACUUCAAGCUCCUUGCGAACCUAGAGGCGAGGAGAAGAAACAAGGUAGUCAAGUGUCAGGGUAAUGGAAAAGAGGGGUGUGUGCACCUGUGUGCGUGAGCUGAGGUCAGAGAGCCAAAUCCAGCCUUGGAUAAUCCACAGUCAUCUCUGAACUCUGAGACCCUGAGCAGCAGGAAGAUGGUGAAUAAAUGCAAGCCCCAGCUAUACAAUUACAACCUAGCCUGAGAGGAGGAAGACGCCAGGAGGUGCAACUUCAGGUCCCAGGCGCCUCGCAACCAGCUUGCUCAUCUCAGGGUCCGCGAGACUGGGAUUUACACAAGCAGCACAGACUUCUCCUCCAGGGUCAUGGUGUCAGCCUUAGCAAUGACAGGGAUGAUGUUCACAACCUUGCUGAGGUGUUUCAUGAACUCAAGAUCCAGAGGUCGCAAGCUGGGGCACAGAAAAGGCAGAAUCAUCAGAGCCACCUUGCCCUCCCCAACUCGGCCACCACCACCACUCCAGGACACCCACAGGAGAAGAGGACUGGGCUGGGCAUCUGGCUGAGGCCAAGAGGCUGCUACCUCUCGUCUCCGACACAGCCCCACUGCCUUGCCGUCUGUAGAGCAGCCUCAACACCUGCCUUUUUCUUUUUCAGUCCCCAUGCAGAUCCUGCCUCUCUUUAAGCCCCCCUCAAACCACCACUUCAGAACAUCUUUUCUGACUCAGGGAUUUCUUUCUCCUGGGAGCAUCUGUGGACUAUUGUCUCUACUCAUAUGUCCUUGUGCAUGUGUGUCUUUUUUCUUUUUUUGUCUGUCUCAAAAACAAAAAACAAAC
rnacentral:lncRNA from 1 species